rnacentral:rRNA from 1 species
UCCUACGGGAGGCAGCAGUGAGGAAUAUUGGACAAUGGGCGAAAGCCUGAUCCAGCCAUGCCGCGUGAGUGAUGAAGGCCCUAGGGUUGUAAAGCUCUUUCAGCGGGGAAGAUAAUGACGGUACCCGCAGAAGAAGCCCCGGCUAACUUCGUGCCAGCAGCCGCGGUAAU